UGUGAAUCUUCAGGUAUUUCCUCUUUAUAUGCAUAUUUGACUUGCUCAUGCUUAUAGCUUUUUAAGUGAAAUUGCAUUUAGAGCUCAAUUCUCUACUAGAUCAAAGUUACAAUUUGAUAAAAUCUAAGGACUCGAUCUUGACAUUUCUUUUCAGAAAGCUAUUAAUGAAAGUUGAUUGAUAACUUUAUAUCUACGUUGUUCUUUUUAUCACUGUUCUGCCAAGAAUUUUAAUUGUUGUCACUGGUCUUAAAUUUUGAUUAAUAUUAAGUAUGGCUUUUGUUAUUUUCUAAGUGAAUUGUGUUUUUCUUAUAAUAGUUUGUUUCCUUAUUCUUUUUAACUCAACUCAACUCAA
rnacentral:misc_RNA from 1 species